rnacentral:rRNA from 1 species
UACGGAGGGUGCAAGCGUUAUCCGGAUUCACUGGGUUUAAAGGGUGUGUAGGCGGAUUGUUAAGUCAGUGGUGAAAUCUCUGGGCUCAACCCGGAAACUGCCGUUGAUACUAUCAGUCUUGAAUUCUGUUGAGGUGGGCGGAAUACAUCAUGUAGCGGUGAAAUGCUUAGAUAUGAUGUAGAACACCGAUUGCGAAGGCAGCUCACUAAGCAGCGAUUGACGCUGAGGCACGAAAGCGUGGGGAUCAAACAGG